AUUGAACGCUGGCGGCAGGCUUAACACAUGCAAGUCGAGCGGGGUGAUGGUGCUUGCACUAUCACUUAGCGGCGGACGGGUGAAUAAUGCUUAGGAAUCUGCCUAUUAGUGGGGGACAACAUCUCGAAAGGGAUGCUAAUACCGCAUACGUCCUACGGGAGAAAGCAGGGGAUCACUUGUGACCUUGCGCUAAUAGAUGAGCCUAAGUCGGAUUAGCUAGUUGGGGGGGUAAAGGCCUACCAAGGCGACGAUCUGUAGCGGGUCUGAGAGGAAGAUCCGCCACACUGGGACUGAGACACGGCCCAGACUCCUACGGGAGGCAGCAGUGGGGAAUAUUGGACAAUGGGGGGAACCCUGAUCCAGCCAUGCCGCGUGUGUGAAGAAGGCCUUAUGGUUGUAAAGCACUUUAAGCGAGGAGGAGGCUCUUUUGGUUAAUACCCAAGAUGAGUGGACGUUACUCGCAGAAUAAGCACCGGCUAACUCUGUGCCAGCAGCCGCGGUAA
rnacentral:rRNA from 1 species